UUAAGGGUUUAGCUAAGUGGUAGAGCAUUUGCCUCACAUGUGCAAGAAGGUGCUGGGUUCAAUCCUCAGCACUGAAA
rnacentral:tRNA from 1 species